UACGGAGGGUGCAAGCGUUAUCCGGAUUCACUGGGUUUAAAGGGUGCGUAGGUGGGUUGGUAAGUCAGUGGUGGAAUCCCCGAGCUUAACUUGGGAACUGCCAUUGAUACUAUCAGUCUUGAAUACCGUGGAGGUCAGCGGAAUAUGUCAUGUAGCGGUGAAAUGCUUAGAUAUGACAUAGAACACCGAUAGCGAAGGCAGCUUGCUACACAGUCAUUGACACUGAGGCACGAAAGCGUGGGGAGCAAACAGG
rnacentral:rRNA from 1 species